rnacentral:rRNA from 1 species
GACGUAACAUGCUUAGCCCGACAAGGUUUCUUGUUGAGUGCUGAGUCGUGUUUGUCAUCCAUCUGGGAAAAACUGUUAUGCUUCACUGCAUUGACAGUCUUACCCAGAUCUUUUACUUUGAAAAAAUUAGAGUGUUUAAAGCAGGCUUUUGCUAUGAAUACAUUAGCAUGGAAUAAUAAUCUAGGACUUCGGUUCUAUUUUGUUGGUUUCUAGGGCUGAAGUA